AAAGAUUUGAUUUCACUUCUUCUCUCUCAGACGUCCUUUUCUCUUUGAUAUCUUCUCGCUCCUUUUCUCUCUGAUUUCACGAGCCGUGGUCUCCAUCCUCUUCCUCGGGCGGCUAGGAAGCCUCGAGCUAGCUGAUGACGUCAUUCAGGGAGGAGGGAGAGAACAGAGGUUCGUCGGCGUCUUUAGAGAACAGAGGUUCGGCGGCGUCUUUAGAGAAUAGAGGUUCGGCGGCGUCUUUAGAGAACAGAGGGUGGAGUCAGAGGGUGUCAUUCAGGGAGGAGGGAGAGAGAGAUCUCAGAUGUUUUGAUGGUGGGUUUGGAUUUGGGUUUCGUUCCAGAUCUGGAUGGUUCGUCUUUACUUUUGUUCAGAUUUGGUGGGUUUCGUUCCAGAUCUAGCAUUUUGUUUUAUUGAUUAUCUUUGCUUAUGUUCGGAUUCGGUGGGUUUGUAUUGAUGUUUGUAUUUCCGAUCUGGUCACAUGGUGUAGUUCUUGCUUAUCUAUGUUGCAUGAACAGAUUUGGGUGAUGGUGUUGUUAUUUGAGGUUUUCAUGUAGUGCUGGAGUUUCAACCGGAACCAUGGUCCGGUGGUGGCUUCGCUGGAGCUGAG
rnacentral:lncRNA from 1 species